rnacentral:lncRNA from 10 species
AAAAUGAUAGUGCCAAUUCAGUGGAAGUGGUUAAUGGCAUGGAAGAGAAGAACUUCUCUGCUGAAGAAGCAUCUUUUAGGGAUCAGCCUGUGUUUUUUAGGCGCAGUGGACUUUGGUGAGAUGGCUUAGGAUGUAACCACCAACAUUAAUUCUGUGGGAAAACUGUGUUUCAAGUUCCAAACAUUGUUUGCAGCCAACUUUUGGAAGCCAGAUCAUUUUGUUAGAUGUGUACCAUCAGUGUACAACCAGCCCUCUAUAUCUGGAAUUCUACAUCUGAGAUUCAACCAAAAUAUUAAUUAAAAAAGGCAAUAAAAAUAAUACAAAUUAAAAAUA